GGUGGAGCGAUUUGUCUGGUUAAUUCCGAUAACGAACGAGACUCUGGCCUAUUAAAUAGACGGUGUAUCUUGAAGUAUACCGCGCUUCUUAGAGGGACAAGCGGCGUCUAGCCGCAUGAAAUAGAGCAAUAACAGGUCUGUGAUGCCCUUAGAUGUCCGGGGCUGCACGCGCGCUACACUGAAAGAAUCAGCGUGCGAUUAGCCUGGUUCGGAAGAAUCGGGUAACCCAAGUAAAUUCUUUCGUGCUUGGGAUAGGGAAUUGCAAUUAUUUCCCUUAAACGAGGAAUUCCCAGUAAAUGCGGGUCAUAAGCUCGCGUUGAU
rnacentral:rRNA from 1 species